rnacentral:rRNA from 1 species
AUUGAACGCUAGCGGGAUGCUUUACACAUGCAAGUCGAACGAGCGGCGGACGGGUGAGUAAUGUAUGGGGACUGCCCGCUAGAGGGGGAUCACUACUGGGAAAGGUAGCUAAUACCGCAUACUAUCGGAUAACCCAUAUGGGAUUAGCUAGUAGGUGAGGUAAUGGCUCACCUAGGCGACGACCCCUAGCUGGUCUGAGAGGAUGAUCAGUCACGCGUGUACUGAGACAAGGCCCAGACUCCGACGGAGGCAGCAUUGGGGAAUAUUGCACAAUGGGCGCAAGCCUGAUGCAGCCAUGCCGCGUGUAUGAAGAAGGCCCUAGGGUUGUAAAGUACUUUCAGUCGGGAGGCGGUACCGACAGAAGAAGCACCGGCUAACUCCGUGCCAGCAGCCGCGGUAAUUC